GACGUAGGGUGCGAGCGUUGUCCGGAUUUAUUGGGCGUAAAGAGCUCGUAGGCGGCUCGUCGCGUCGACCGUGAAAACCCGCGGCUUAACUGCGGGCUUGCGGUUGAUACGGGCGGGCUAGAGUUCGGUAGGGGAGACUGGAAUUCCUGGUGUGGCGGUGAAAUGCGCAGAUAUCGGGAAGAACACCCGUGGCGAAGGCGGCUCUCUGGGACGGUACUGACGCUGAGACGCGAAAGCGUGGGGAGCGAACAGG
rnacentral:rRNA from 1 species